rnacentral:rRNA from 1 species
AUUGAACGCUGGCGGCAGGCCUAACACAUGCAAGUCGAGCGAAGCGGGGACGGGUGAGUAACACGUGGAUAACCUCCUAUAAGACUGGGAUAACUUCGGGAAACCGGAGCUAAACCGGAUACGGAUGGGUGGAUCCGCGCUGCAUUAGCUAGUUGGUAAGGUAACUGCUUACCAAGGCAACGAUGCAUAGCCGACCUGAGAGGGUGAUCGGCCACACUGGAACUGAGACACGGUCCAGACGCCGACGGGAGGCAGCAGUAGGGAAUCUUCCGGAAUGGGCGCAAGCCUGACGGAGCAACGCCGCGUGAGUGAUGAAGGUCUUCGGAUCGUAAAACUCUGUUAUUAGGGAAGCGGUACCUAAUCAGAAAGCCACGGCUAACUACGUGCCAGCCGCCGCGGUAAUAC